UAGUAACUGCGGAGUGAAGCCGGAAAAGCUCAAAUUUAAAAUCUGGCGGUCUUCGGCCCGUCCGAGUUGUAAUUUAGAGAAGCGUUAUCCGUGCUUGGACCGUGUAUAAGUCUCCUGGAAUGGAGCGUCAUAGAGGGUGAGAAUCCCGUCUUUGACACGGACUACCAGUGCAUUGUGAUGCGCUCUCGACGAGUCGAGUUGUUUGGGAAUGCAGCUCAAAAUGGGUGGUAAAUGCCAUCUAAAGCUAAAUAUUGGCGAGAGACCGAUAGCGAACAAGUACCGUGAGGGAAAGAUGAAAAGAACUUUGGAAAGAGAGUUAAACAGUACGUGAAAUUGUCGAAAGGGAAACGGUUGCAGUCAGUCGCGUCCGCCGGGGAUCAACCUUGCUUUUGCUUGGCGUAUUUCCCGGUGGAUGGGUCAGCAUCAGUUUUUGACCGCAGUUGAAAGGCUGGAGGAAUGUGGCACCUUCGGGUGUGUUAUAGCCUCCUGCAUAUGCUGCGGUUGGGACUGAGGAACU
rnacentral:rRNA from 1 species